rnacentral:snRNA from 1 species
AUAAAUAAAUAAAUAAAUAAAUAACCAUGAUCACAAAGGUGGUUUUCUAGGAGGCUCCUCCAGUGCUGACUCCUCUUAUUUACCCAAAUGUGGGAAACUUGACUAUAUAAUUUAUGGAAGUGGGGGGCUGUGUUUGUGCAUUCAGUG